CCUACGGGAGGCUGCAGUGGGGAAUAUUGGACAAUGGGGGGAACCCUGAUCCAGCCAUGCCGCGUGUGUGAAGAAGGCCCUCGGGUUGUAAAGCACUUUCAGUGAGGAAGAACGCCUGGUGGUUAAUACCCAUCAGGAAAGACAUCACUCACAGAAGAAGCACCGGCUAACUCCGUGCCAGCAGCCGCGGUAAUACGGAGGGUGCGAGCGUUAAUCGGAAUUACUGGGCGUAAAGCGCGCGUAGGUGGCUUGAUAAGCCGGUUGUGAAAGCCCCGGGCUCAACCCGGGAACGGCAUCCGGAACUGUCAAGCUAGAGUGCAGGAGAGGAAGGUAGAAUUCCCGGUGUAGCGGUGAAAUGCGUAGAGAUCGGGAGGAAUACCAGUGGCGAAGGCGGCCUUCUGGACUGACACUGACACUGAGGUGCGAAAGCGUGGGUAGCAAACAGGAUUAGAUACCCGGGUAGUC
rnacentral:rRNA from 1 species